CUGAGGGGUGCUACACAUGCAGUCGAACGAUGAAGGGAGCUUGCUCCUGGAUUAGUGGCGAACGGGUGAGUAACACGUGAGUAACCUGCCCUUGACUCUGGGAUAAGCCUGGGAAACUGGGUCUAAUACCGGAUAUGACCUUCCAUCGCAUGGUGGUUGGUGGAAAGCUUUUGUGGUUUUGGAUGGACUCGCGGCCUAUCAGCUUGUUGGUGGGGUAAUGGCCUACCAAGGCGACGACGGGUAGCCGGCCUGAGAGGGUGACCGGCCACACUGGGACUGAGACACGGCCCAGACUCCUACGGGAGGCAGCAGUGGGGAAUAUUGCACAAUGGGCGCAAGCCUGAUGCAGCGACGCCGCGUGAGGGAUGACGGCCUUCGGGUUGUAAACCUCUUUCAGUAGGGAAGAAGCCGCAAGGUGACGGUACCUGCAGAAGAAGCGCCGGCUAACUACGUGCCAGCAGCCGCGGUAAUACGUAGGGCGCAAGCGUUAUCCGGAAUUAUUGGGCGUAAAGAGCUCGUAGGCGGUUUGUCGCGUCUGCCGUGAAAGUCCGGGGCUCAACUCCGGAUCUGCGGUGGGUACGGGCAGACUAGAGUGAUGUAGGGGAGACUGGAAUUCCUGGUGUAGCGGUGAAAUGCGCAGAUAUCAGGAGGAACACCGAUGGCGAAGGCAGGUCUCUGGGCAUUAUCUGACGCUGAGGAGCGAAAGCAUGGGGAGCGAACAGGAUUAGAUACCCUGGUAGUCCAUGCCGUAAACGUUGGGCACUAUGUGUGGGGGACAUUCCACGUUUUCCGCGCCGUAUCUAACGCAUUAAGUGCCCCGCCUGGGAGAGUACGGCCGCAAGGCUAAAACUCAAAGGAAUUUGACGGGGGGCCCGCACAAGCGGCGGGAGCAUGCGGUAUUAAUUUCGAUGGCAACGCGAAGAAACCCUUUACCAAGGGCUUGAC
rnacentral:rRNA from 1 species